rnacentral:rRNA from 1 species
UACGUAGGGGGCGAGCGUUGUCCGGAAUCAUUGGGCGUAAAGAGCGUGUAGGCGGCUCGGUAAGUCCGCUGUGAAAGUCCAGGGCUCAACCCUGGAAAGCCGGUGGAUACUGUCGGGCUAGAGUCCGGAAGAGGCGAGUGGAACUCCUGGUGUAGCGGUGAAAUGCGCAGAUAUCAGGAAGAACACCAAUAGCGAAGGCAGCUCGCUGGGACGGUACUGACGCUGAGACGCGAAAGCGUGGGGAGCGAACAGG